CCGCUCUCCGCCCCCGCUCCAGCCCUGGCCCGAGUGCCCGCCGCCGCAGGAAGCUCCACAGCGGCGCCGGGGCGCUUCCAGCCUCGGCGCCUGCUGUGUUCUCCAGCCGGACGCCCUGGUCAGCCGAUGUAGCCCUUCGAAGGUCCUUUUCCGGAGGUCUCUGUCGGGGGCUGCCCCAACCGCUCACUCCAGUCCGAAGAACACACUUCUACCUCGGUGCUCUUUACCCUCCCAACCCUCAACUUCAAGCCAGGCGCCGGUGGUUCACCCCUGACAUCGUAGCUCCUCCGGAGGCUGCGAUCUGAGGUUCGAAGCCAGCCCAGACAGGAGCAUCCAUGAGAUUCUCAGCCAAAAGCAGAGCUGCGGCUCAAGUGGUUAGAAUCUUGAUCCAGAGAGCUAAGAGACUGCAUACAGGCCCCUGAGUUCAAGUCCCAGUACUGGCACAAACAAAACUUCCAACUCCAGUUAUUUUCCACCCGAAGUAGAAAAGUUACUCCGGCAAAGCCACUGUCGGCAUCUAGUUGUCAGAAGGCGGCCCCGGCCCAGUUGCGGGGCCAGUGGCUCUGUGGGUAUGUAGGCUGGAAUGUAGGCUGGGGGGCAGACUAGGAGGGGCUAUCAGGAAGCCCAAAAGGCAUUAAUUUAAAUAAUACAGGAGGGAGGAGGUAGUGACAGAUGUGAUCUCUGCGCAAUUAGAAAGUGCCCUUCUGGGCCAAAGUUUAUUUCUGUACACCUGACCUUUUGUACGUCUAAUUGAUACUUAGUGUAUAACUUGCUUGUUUAAACCCAAGAAUUCCCCUGUUGAGGAUCCGAACUUCUUUCUGGCCCUGGCCUGGUUCAGGUCACCAGCAAUAAAACUUCCUUUAUCCUCUCCAAAAAGUAGUUGUGUUGUCUGCUAAUCUGUGCUAGCUAGUACUUUCAGUAACUUAGUCAUUGUCAUUUCCCAGAAAUGUGCCUGACUUAAAAUAGUGCUCAAUACACUGCCCAAAAUGUGUAAAAGAGCUCAGCAUAAAUAAAGCCCUGAGUCAAUUCCCAACAUUACCCACAUUCCACUUCCCUCCAGAACACCUCACCUAUCAGUUGUGAGAGACCAGGAAAGUAAACCCCAGCAUUUCUUAGUGAAGAUAAGCAUUUCCCUUGGGUUGAUAGUACCAAAGAUAAGCUGUGGAAAAGGUGACCUAAAUCUCUUCCCCUGUCUAUAAUUUACAUUGUGUCCCCAAAAUAGCAAAUCGUGAAAAAGUCAUUAACUUGAGACACUGCCACCGUUAUCAAGUACAUCAUUGCUUUUGUUUUCCUUAUCUCUGGAGCAUUACUUUUUUUUUUCAGUCCAGUGGCUAACUAUGAGGCUUUAUUUUCUGUUGUUAGUAAAAGCUAUUAAAUGAUUUAAUUGGUUA